GCCUGGGUGGCUCAGUCGGUUUAAGCACCUGACUUCAGCUCAGGUCAAGAUCUCAUGGUUUGUGAGUUCAAGCCCCACAUCAGGGU
rnacentral:tRNA from 1 species